AGGAUUGGUGUUCUUAUAAGAAGAGGAAGAGACACGGGGAUGGGCACACAUAGAGGAAAGACCACGUGAGGACACAGGAGCUGGUGGCCGUCUGCAUGCUAGGGAGAGAGGCCUCAGGAGAAACCAACCCUGUGGACACCUUGAUGUCAGACCUCCAGCCUCCAGAACCAUGAGAGAGAAAUUUCCAUUGUUUACAAGCUCCCCGGUUGAUGUAUUUUGUAGGGCAGCUCUAGAAAAGUAGCACAUUACCCAAAGACAGGUGUUGGCCCUCAUUUUUGCUUUUGGGAGAGUGAUUCUCACGAUUUAGGCAGACAGAGAAAAGUUUCCUUUUAAACCUAGUGCCUGGAACAGAAUUUUUUUAAACUUAGAAUUCCAUUGAUAAAAUUGAAGAUGAUUUGGUUGAAUUCAAAGCCGAGGCUGAGAAUAAUUAAAAUGGGAAAGCAUUAAAAAAUGGUGAAGGCAAGAUUAAAAUUGUGGAAAAAGGUGAGAAAGAAAGCCGAUAAAGCCAAUAGUAGUGGAGCAAAUAAGGAAUAAAAUCACUUUAGAUUAGCCCUGAGCUAACAUCUACUGCUAAUCCUCCUCCUCUUGCUGAGGAAGACCAGCCCUGAGCUCACAUCUGUGCCCAUCAACCUCCACUUCACAUGUGGGACACCUACCACAGCAUGGCCCGCCAAGCUGUGCCAUGUCCACACCCGGGAUCCGAACCAGUGAACCCUGGGCCACCAAAGCGGAACUGUGCGCACUUAACUACUGCGCCACCAGGCCAGCCCCAGAAGAUUUCAUUUGAUCCUGCUUUUCUGGAGCAAUGCCACCAACUUCAUUUGUAAUGUGCUGCCUUUGUCUUUGGGUGGAAAAUGGCGGAAGAACAGAGGAGCAGGUGUCCUUUAUAUGCACAUAACCUCAUAAACUUCAAUUGAUUCGUUGCCACCUGUUAUCAAACGACACCUGCAUAACAGACUGCAGAUAACAAAAGAGGCAUUCAGGGGCAGACAACUACGGUUAUGCAAUUGAAAGUCAAGGUUGCAUCUUUGAGUCCACCUAGAUAGUUGUGGGCAUUUCCUUUUUUUUCCUCAAUAGUAAAUACAUUCAUAUGGUUCAUAAAUUUAAAAAUAUGAAAUGGUUUACAGUGAAAGCUUUUUUGGGUCCCUUGACUGUGCAGUUUUCAUCUCCCAGCCCUUACCAGUCACUAAUUAGUUUAAUCAGUUUCAAGACUAUUCUUCCAGAAUUUCUUCAGGCAAAUACAAGUGUCUACGACCUCAUGUAUGUUUAAGCUGGGGAUCAUUUAAAGAACACCAUACCUAGUGGGAAUGAUCUUCUGACAUUUUUCCUUUUUUGAUGUAAGAAAAAAAUAUUAUAGUGAACCUUUGCAUGGUUUUAAUUUUCUAGCAAUAGUAGAGAUAGCCUGGCCUACUAACCAGUGCUGGGCUAGGCGUCAAUAGAUGCGCCAUUAAUUUAAAAUAUAACUCUGAACUCUCGUUCUUUGCGCUUCAGCUGAGAAGGAGAAUAUGCACCCGUGAGUGUGAAGGUAAAAUGGGGACAUGCAAGUGUCAGUGCUCUGAAAAGUGUAAGCUCGCAGGCAAAAAGAAGGCAUGAAUGAUGCCCUUCAUGAGGACCAGGGCAUCUUCCAACUUUCCUUUGAUGAUAAAUGAACAGCCUUAAAUUGUGGCUUGAAAAGAUUAUACUAGAUUUGCAAAGCAAGACACUGCUAUCAGCUAUAAUCUUUAAAAUGAACUCAUCAACUCAACGUUUUUUUAUUGCUUGCAAAUGUCACUAUCGUUAGCCAAAGUUUAUUAAAGCUCGGUAAUGUGCUUUCUACCAUGCAGGGGGAGAUGACUGAGUUGGGAGAGAUCCCUGGACAUCUAGAAUGUCUAAAGAGGCAGCUGGUCACCAGCCACAGAGGAG
rnacentral:lncRNA from 1 species